GGGGUUGUAGCUUAGUGGUUGAACACUUGCCUCACAUGCAUGAGGCACUGGGUUUGAUCCUCAGCACUUCA
rnacentral:tRNA from 1 species